rnacentral:lncRNA from 10 species
GUGGUGAGAUCACGAUUCACUGACUUGAACUCCUUGGCUCAAGUGGUCCUCCCACCUUGGCCUCUCAAAGUGCUGGAAUUACAAGCAUGCCUAGGUGCCUGGCCAGGUAGAAACAUUAGUCACUCGCGCUCCAGGAAGGUUGUCAGGCAGCGCUGAGCAGUAAUGUGUCCUACUCACCUGCUGUUUAUCCAGCACCAGACCUCUUCUAAGAACUUUACCUGUUUCAGCUCACUGAAUCCUCACAACACCCAUUGUACAGAAGAGGAAACUGAGGCAGCGAGUGGUUAAGUGACUUCUCCGAGGUUACACAGCUAGGAAAUGGUGGCAACAGUAAGAGCCCACGAAGAGCUGCGGUUGGUAGUUCAUUCUGGACAGCCCUCCCGUGAACCGUCCCUGUACUGGCACUUGUUGCUGGGGACUGUCG